AACGAACGCUGGCGGCAUGCCUAACACAUGCAAGUCGAACGAGACCUUCGGGUCUAGUGGCGCACGGGUGCGUAACGCGUGGGAACCUGCCCUUAGGUUCGGAAUAACUCCCCGUAAGGGGUGCUAAUACCGGAUAAUGUCUUCGGACCAAAGAUUUAUGGCCUUGGGAUGGGCCCGCGUUGGAUUAGCUAGUUGGUAGGGUAAAAGCCUACCAAGGCGACGAUCCAUAGCUGGUCUGUGAGGAUGAUCAGCCACACUGGGACUGAGACACGGCCCAGACUCCUACGGGAGGCAGCAGUGGGGAAUAUUGGACAAUGGGCGAAAGCGUGAUCCAGCAAUGCCGCGUGAGUGAUGAAGGCCUUAGGGUUGUAAAGCUCUUUUACCCGGGAUGAUAAUGACAGUACCGGGAGAAUAAGCUCCGGCUAACUCCGUG
rnacentral:rRNA from 1 species